rnacentral:misc_RNA from 1 species
AAGUCGUAACAAGGUCUCCGUAGGUGAACCUGCGGAGGGAUCAUUACCGAGUUCAUGCCCUCACGGGUAGAUCUCCCCACCCUUGUGUAUUUUCAUGUUUGUGUUGCUUUGGCAGGCCGUGGGCCGCGCCCACCACCGGCUCCCGGGCUGGUGCGUGCCUGCCAGAGGACCCUUUUAAACUCUGUUUGUCAGUGUCGUCUGAGUAUGAUAACAAUCGUUAAAACUUUCAACAACGGAUCUCUUGGUUCUG